GCCGCCGUAGCUCAGUGGGAGAGCACACCCUUGGUAAGGGUGAGGUCGUGAGUUCAAUCCUCACCGGCGGCACCA
rnacentral:tRNA from 1 species